rnacentral:rRNA from 1 species
GAAUUCUUAGUGGCGAACGGGUGAGUAACGCGUAGGCACCUGCCCUUUAGACGGGGACAACAUUCCGAAAGGAGUGCUAAUACCGGAUGUGGCCGCAUGGCGAAAGAUGGCCUUCAAGAAGCUAUCGCUAAAGGAUGGGCCUGCGUCUGAUUAGCUAGUUGGUAGUGUAACGGACUACCAAGGCGAUGAUCAGUAGCCGGUCUGAGAGGAUGAACGGCCACAUUGGGACUGAGACACGGCCCAAACUCCUACGGGAGGCAGCAGUGGGGAAUCUUCCGCAAUGGACGAAAGUCUGACGGAGCAACGCCGCGUGAGUGAUGAAGGAUUUCGGUCUGUAAAGCUCUGUUGUUUAUGACGGAGUGCAGUGUGUGAACAAUGCAUUGCAAUGACGGUAGUAAACGAGGAAGCCACGGCUAACUACGUGCCAGCAGCCGCGGUAAUACGUAGGUGGCGAGCGUUGUCCGGAAUUAUUGGGCGUAAAGAGCAUGUAGGCGGCUUAAUAAGUCGAGCGUGAAAAUGCGGGGCCCAACCCCGUAUGGCGCUGGAAACUGUUAGGCUUGAGUGCAGGAGAGGAAAGGGGAAUUCCCAGUGUAGCGGUGAAAUGCGUAGAUAUUGGGAGGA